rnacentral:tRNA from 1 species
AGGGGUAUAGCUCAAGCUGUAGACUACUUGCUUAGCAUGCAUGAGGUCCUGGGUUCAAUCCCCAGUACCUUCU